rnacentral:lncRNA from 1 species
UUUUUGGAAAAUUUGUUAUCGGAAAAUAUUAAUGUAUUCAUUGUUUUUCUCAAUUCAACCUACCAAAAUUCUCUCGAAACCUAAAUUCCUCCGGCCGUUUCUAUGAAAUUCAUCUUCCAUAAAUCCAUAAACGUGAUUUUUUAUUCAAUCCAUCUUCUUAUGUUUAAGUUUGAUUACCCAAGGUUAAGGACACCACUAAUUUGUUGUUGGCUUUGAAGAUCUUCAAUAUCGUACGUACUUUAGCGGAAAACAUUCUCUCUAAUAGGCAAGAAUGAAAUUAUUAAUCAUCGCACGCGAAACUAUCCAUGGAUUCGAUCCAUUCUUCCAGGCACACUAUUAUUGAGUUUUGAUGUACGGUGUAGAAAGGAGGCAAUUUGAUAUGAUGAACAAGUUACACAAGCUGUGUUUAUGGGACCUUUUCUGAGUUUCUUAUUUGAAUUUUUUAAUUAGUUUUUGUUUUUUUUUUAAUAAUGAAUUUCAUUUUAUAACAUACUUGCCAAGUUAUUUCUCAAUUUGGUUUUAGGUACGCACGCUGAGAAAGAAGUACCCAACACUUAAUAUAGAGAUGGAGGGUUAGGGCCUUCAACAAUUGACACAACGGCUACAAGUACAAACUGCAUUGUUGCUGGCAGUUCCGUAUUUAGAGCUCCAGAACUGGCUUAAGUUAUAUCCCUACUGAGAACAAGUGUGAACAAGGCCCAAAAUUUUGUUGAAGCAUACACAAGCAACAAACUUCUCAAAUGAUUAAUUAAAUGCAGGUGAAUAUCUUCAGAGAAUGUAGGUGAAUAUCUAUCGCUCAUAUCCGCAGGCUGUUGUUUCUAAGGGUACAUCAGUGGACUUUUCUGUAAAGCAAGUGAGAUUGGAUAUCAGUCCCAAAGGAGAGACCAAGAAAAUAGUUCAAAACAUUUUAGUCCCAAGGUAAUUGUUUUACCAACAUUCAAAUUAUUUACAUACAUAACAAGUGCUUGUAGUUGAAAUGUUGAAUAAAACCUAACUUCGCUUCAAUAUGUACAAAUAGAUGAUAUGUUUCAAC